UACGUAGGGGGCGAGCGUUGUCCGGAUUUAUUGGGCGUAAAAGGCUUGUAGGUGGCCACGCGAAGUCGGAUGUGAAAUCUCCCGGCUUAACUGGGAGGGUGCGGCGGAAACUGGAAUGCUAGAGGAUGGGAGAGGUAAGCGGAAUUCCUGGUGUAGCGGUGAAAUGCGUAGAUAUCAGGAGGAACACCUGUGGUGUAGACAGCUUACUGGACCAUUUCUGACGCUGAGACACGAAAGCGUGGGUAGCAAACAGG
rnacentral:rRNA from 1 species